CACUCCUACGGGAGGCAGCAGUGGGGAAUAUUGGACAAUGGGCGCAAGCCUGAUCCAGCCAUGCCGCGUGAGUGAUGAAGGCCCUAGGGUUGUAAAGCUCUUUCACCGGUGAAGAUAAUGACGGUAACCGGAGAAGAAGCCCCGGCUAACUUCGUGCCAGCAGCCGCGGUAAUACGAAGGGGGCUAGCGUUGUUCGGAUUUACUGGGCGUAAAGCGCACGUAGGCGGACUAUUAAGUCAGGGGUGAAAUCCCGGGGCUCAACCCCGGAACUGCCUUUGAUACUGGUAGUCUUGAGUUCGAGAGAGGUGAGUGGAAUUCCGAGUGUAGAGGUGAAAUUCGUAGAUAUUCGGAGGAACACCAGUGGCGAAGGCGGCUCACUGGCUCGAUACUGACGCUGAGGUGCGAAAGCGUGGGGAGCAAACAGGAUUAGAUACCCGGGUAGUCCCAUGA
rnacentral:rRNA from 1 species